rnacentral:rRNA from 1 species
GACGAACGCUGGCGGCGUGCCUAAUACAUGCAAGUAGAACGCUGAAGGAGGAGCUUGCUUCUCUGGAUGAGUUGCGAAUGGGUGAGUAACGCGUAGGUAACCUGCCUGGUAGCGGGGGAUAACUAUUGGAAACGAUAGCUAAUACCGCAUAAUAGCAGUUGUUGCAUGACAACUGUUUGAAAGGUGCAAUUGCACCACUACCAGAUGGACCUGCGUUGUAUUAGCUAGUUGGUGGGGUAACGGCUCACCAAGGCGACGAUACAUAGCCGACCUGAGAGGGUGAUCGGCCACACUGGGACUGAGACACGGCCCAGACUCCUACGGGAGGCAGCAGUAGGGAAUCUUCGGCAAUGGACGGAAGUCUGACCGAGCAACGCCGCGUGAGUGAAGAAGGUUUUCGGAUCGUAAAGCUCUGUUGUAAGAGAAGAACGAGUGUGAGAGUGGAAAGUCCACACUGUGACGGUAUCUUACCAGAAAGGGACGGCUAACUACGUG